UACGAAGGGGGCUAGCGUUGCUCGGAAUCACUGGGCGUAAAGGGUGCGUAGGCGGGUUUUUAAGUCAGGGGUGAAAUCCUGGAGCUCAACUCCAGAACUGCCUUUGAUACUGAUAGUCUUGAGUAUGGGAGAGGUGAGUGGAACUGCGAGUGUAGAGGUGAAAUUCGUAGAUAUUCGCAAGAACACCAGUGGCGAAGGCGGCUCACUGGCCCAUAACUGACGCUGAGGCACGAAAGCGUGGGGAGCAAACAGG
rnacentral:rRNA from 1 species